GAGUAUGGUGAUAGCAGCGUGGUUGGUCCCCUGCCUGUGGGCUCAUCUUCUGGCAUGACUGGCCUGAUAGAGUAUGGUGAUAGCAGCAUGGCUGGUCCCCUGCCUGUGAGCUCAUCUUCUGGCAUCACUGCCCCAGUAGAAUUUGGGAAGGCCUCAUUGCCAGGUGAAUGUACUGCCAUGGCUGCCUACAUGAACACUGAGGCUGGCUAGUGUCAUGGUGCGAGUGGACUGACCGAUGAAAUUGCCAAAGUGAAGAGGCAGAUUAUGUCAUAAGUAGCACAGACCUCCUUAUAUGAAAACUGUGGGUAUGCCCCAGGAGAAGCAGACUAUGAUGCUGAUGACAAGAGCGCCCUCGCUUCCUUCAAAGUGUAGAGAAGGAAGAUGGAGGACACGCUCCUAUGGGACUUCACAGAGAUGAUUCAUGAGAAUGUCAAGGAGAGGAAGGUACUUGAAUAGAUGCCAGUCCUCGCCUUCAUCACUGAGGAGGAACAGUUUCCAUGAUUGCAUGAGGGAUCCUCAU